rnacentral:rRNA from 1 species
GGUUGUCGGCGGGGUAACGGCCUACCAAGCCUAUAACCGGUACGGGCCCUGAGAGGGGGAGCCCGGAGAUGGGAACUGAGACAAGGUCCCAGGUCCUACGGGGCGCAGCAGGCGCGAAAACUCCACAAUGUGCGAAAGCAUGAUGGGGUUAACCCGAGUGCCGUCCGAUGAGGAUGGCUUUUCUUCAGUUUAAGGAUCUGGAGGAAUAAAGGGGGGGCAAGACUGGUGUCAGCCGCCGCGGUAAUACCAGCCCCCUGAGUGGUAGGGACGAUUAUUUGGCCUAAAGCGUCCGUAGCCUGUUUGGAAAGUCUUUCGUCAAACCCGACGAUUCCAUCGUCGGCCCGCGGAAGAUACUGCCAGACUUGAGGACGGGAGAGGUCGACGGUAGUCCCAGGGUAGGGGUGAAAUCCUAUAAUCCUGGGAGGACCAUCAGUGGCGAAGGCGGUCGACUAAAACGUGCCUGAUGGUGAUGGACGAAAGCUGGGGGAGCGAACC